AAUCAACGCUGGCGGCGUGCCUCAGACAUGCAAGUCGAACGAUUAAAGCUCUCUUCGGAGAGUGUAUAGAGUGGCGCACGGGUGAGUAACACGUAAGUAAUCUACCCUCGAGUGGGGAAUAACGUCCGGAAACGGGCGCUAAUACCGCAUAAUGCAGCGGCAUCAUAAGAUGACAGUUGUUAAAGAUUUAUCGCUUGAGGAGGAGCUUUCGGCAGAUUAGCUAGUUGGUAAGGUAACGGCUUACCAAGGCUACGAUCUGUAACCGGUCUUAGAGGACGGUCGGUCACACUGACACUGAAUAACGGGUCAGACUCCUACGGGAGGCAGCAGUCGGGAAUUUUGGGCAAUGGGCGAAAGCCUGACCCAGCAACGCCGCGUGAAGGAUGAAGUAUUUCGGUAUGUAAACUUCGAAAGAAUAGGAAGAAUUAAUGACGGUACUAUUUAUAAGGUCCGGCUAACUACGUGCCAGCCGCCGCCGUAAUAC
rnacentral:rRNA from 1 species